rnacentral:rRNA from 1 species
GUGCGAGACCGAUAGCGAACAAGUACCGUGAGGGAAAGAUGAAAAGAACUUUGAGAAGAGAGUUAAAGAGUACCUGAAACUGCUGAAAGGGAACCGAAUCGUUUCCAGUGUCUAUAAUCCAUGGUAUAUUUCAUUGGCGAGUGAGUGCGUGCAGCGUUUUGGAAGCGGUCUCCGCUCCUGUCGUUGUUGUGCAUUUGCUUGCUGGUGCCCUGUGCUGUGGUGGGACGUCAGAGUCAGUUUGUAUGUUGCGGGAAAUGGUUAUCAGGGAGGUAGGUCGCUUCGGUGGCUGUUAUAUCCUGGUAACUAGUCGUCGUGGCUGAGACUGAGGUGCCUACAACGCGCUUUCGAGUCUGCGGGCUUCUCGUGUGGCUGUUUGCUUUGAUAGCUUGCUAUGUUGGUGAAUAAGUCGUGCGAUUGAGACCUGUAGUAACUUGUUGCUGUUCGGGACUUUGA